CUUGUGCGUCCACUGUGUCAGCUGAAAUAAGGGCCUUCCUGCUCUUGGUGCUGUGCCAACUCGGUGCAAAACCUGCAAUCUAAGCUGGAAGAGAUCUAGCAGGUUUUCCAUUCAAGAACUGCAAGGGUUGGGGAGGCAACACCGCAUCUGAUUUUGAUCUCUCACUCCUUUCACACUGGUGUGAUUCCAGUGAUGUGGAUGAUUUGCAUCUGAUUUGUAAGCUGUAAACGCAACCAGAUUUUGAUUACAUUAAAUCGGAAAUGAGCAAGGUAACACCGGAAGGCCGUCUCUUGAACCGGUUUGCAAGCGAGGUACUCAGAUGCAGACAAGUACGGAAACUUCACCAAGUCUGUAGUUAAAAAAAAACAAACAAAUCAUUUGCUCUAUUUCAAAUGAGUAGCUGCUGUGUUAACAGAGCCUGAUCCAGGCUGAGCAUGAAAAGAAGGCACCGACUGUUCAUUUGGACGCAGGCCCUGGACUACAGCAUCGGCACUCGUAUUUGCAAUGUGAAGUGCAAAGGAGCUUAUAGAAUUGGUGUGGCUGAAUUUGUGAGUGUGUAUUCACAGGUAAGAAGGCAUUAUUACUGAAUUCCAGCUGCUGCAUGUGCACGAACAGGUAAUAAUAUCACUGGUUUUGCUUCUCCUGCUUUAUCCAAAGACCAACGCUACGCAAACUCUGCUGCGCUGGCGGGCCGAGUCGGUGCUCGAUUCAUCACUGUUUCCCGACACCUUCCAAACCCGUUCUCCGUGAACCUCAGGUAGACGUACCUCGUGGUAGCAUGGGUCCCAGAGCCCGGCUGGGCUGUCUUUUGAAGACGCGGCAGGUACCAAAGACGGGCACUGAUGAUGCUGAAAAUUCAGAGAGGGAUUAGAAGGAGUGAAGCUUUCUGGAUACUGGGAAGGGAGGGAGAUGCCGGGCUGUGCGGGCACGGGCCGAGGCG